AACGCACAUUGCGCCCGCCGGUAUUCCGGCGGGCAUGCCUGUCCGAGCGUCAUUUCGACCCCUCGAGCGCCCUCGCGCGCGCUCGGUGUUGGGGCCCUACGUGCGUCGUAGGCCCUGAAUUCCAGUGGCGGGCUCGCCGUGUUCCCGAGCGUAGUAAUGCUACGUCGCUCAGGGGCGCGCGGCGGGCGCCGGCCGUGAAACGACGAAACACAACCCCAAGGUUGACCUCGGAUCAGGUAGGAAUACCCGCUGAACUUAA
rnacentral:misc_RNA from 1 species